GCCAAAGUGGUGGAAUUGGUAUACACAUUAGAUUUAGGAUCUAACUUCUAGUAAGAAUGUGGGUUCAAGUCCCACCUUUGGUA
rnacentral:tRNA from 1 species